rnacentral:rRNA from 1 species
UGAGUACGAGAUGCUACGGCAUCGAAGCAGUCUAUGUCAUACUUCCAAGAAAAGCUUGCACUGUCAGAAACAGAUAAUGCCUGUACCAUAACCGACACAGGUGGGUAGGUAGAGUAUACUAAGGGGCGCGAGAUAACUCUCUCUAAGGAACUCGGCAAAAUGACUCCGUAACUUCGGGAGAAGGAGUGCCUUAUUUUUAAGGUUGCAAUAACAAGAUCCAAGCAACUGUUUACCAAAAACACAGGUCUCCGCUAAGUCGUAAGACGAUGUAUGGGGGCUGACGCCUGCCCAGUGCCAGAAGGUUAAAGAAGUCGGUUAGCAUUCGCGAAGCUGGUAACUGAAGCCCUGGUGAACGGCGGCCGUAACGAUAACGGUCCUAAGGUAGCGAAAUUCCUUGUCGGGUAAGUUCCGACCCGCACGAAAGGCGUAAUGAUUUGGAUACUGUCUCGGAGAGGGGCUCGGUGAAAUAGACUUGUCUGUGAAGAUGCGGACUACCUGCACCUGGACAGAAAGACCCUAUGAAGCUUUACUGUAACUUGAAAUUGAAAUUGGACUUUAUUUGCGCAGUAUAGGUGGGAGGCGUUGAAAAUAUUCUUGCGGGAAUAUUGGAGCCAUCAGUGAGAUACCACUCUUGUAAUGUUAGAUUUCUAACUUUAUAUCAUUAUCUGGUUAAAGAACAGUUUCAGGCGGGCAGUUUGACUGGGGCGGUCGCCUCCCAAAUGGUAACGGAGGCGCACAAAGGUUUCCUCUGAACGGGUAGAAAUCGUAUCUAGAGUGUAAAGGCAUAAGGAAGCUUGACUGUGAGACCUACAAGUCGAGCAGGGACGAAAGUCGGUCUUAGUGAUCUGACGGUGCUGAGUGGAAAGGCCGUCACUCAACGGAUAAAAGUUACUCUAAGGAUAACAGGCUGAUCUCCCCCAAGAGUUCACAUCGACGGGGAGGUUUGGCACCUCGAUGUCGGCUCAUCGCAUCCUGGGGCGGUAGUACGUCCCAAGGGUUGGGCUGUUCGCCCAUGAAAGCGGUACGCGAGCUGGGUUCAGAACGUCGUGAGACAGUUCGGUCCAUAUCCGGUGUAGGCGUUAGAAUAUUGAGAGGAGCCUUCUUUAGUACGAGAGGACCGAGAAGGACAUACCUCUGGUGUACCAGUUAUCGUGCCAACGGUAAACGCUGGGUAGCUAUGUAUGGAGUGGAUAACCGCUGAAAGCAUCUAAGUGGGAAGCCCACCUCAAGAUAAG